ACGGCCCUGAUUCAAGGCCAGCAGUUUUCUGAAGCUGCUGGUUUGAAGUAGGAGCCUAAAGUGGUAUCUUUCUAUGGGCUGUAGGCCAUUUUGGAGCUUUAGAAUGUAAUGGUCAAUUCAUUAAAAGAAACCACC
ensembl:snoRNA